rnacentral:rRNA from 1 species
GCCUGCUAUCUCUUACCCAUGUCUUUUGAGUACCUUACGUUUCCUCGGUGGGUUCGCCCACCGAUUGGACAAAUUUAAACCCUUUGCAGUUGAAAUCAGCGUCUGAAAAAACUUAAUAGUUACAACUUUCAACAACGGAUCUCUUGGUUCUGGCAUCGAUGAAGAACGCAGCGAAAUGCGAUAAGUAGUGUGAAUUGCAGAAUUCAGUGAAUCAUCGAAUCUUUGAACGCACAUUGCGCCCCUUGGUAUUCCAUGGGGCAUGCCUGUUCGAGCGUCAUUUGUACCUUCAAGCUCUGCUUGGUGUUGGGUGUUUGUCUCCUGUAGACUCGCCUUAAAACAAUUGGCAGCCGGCGUAUUGAUUUCGGAGCGCAGUACAUCUCGCGCUUUGCACUCAUAACGACGACAUCCAAAAGUACAUUUUUACACUCUUGACCUCGGAUCAGGUAGGGAUACCCGCUGAACUUAAGCAUAU